GAUGAAGAACGUAGCGAAAUGCGAUACUUGGUGUGAAUUGCAGAAUCCCGUGAACCAUCGAGUCUUUGAACGCAAGUUGCGCCCGAAGCCAUCAGGUUGAGGGCACAUCUGCCUGGGCGUCACAUAUCGUUGCCCAAUGCCUAUUGCAGUGCAAUAGGAAUUUCUAGGGCGAAUGAUGGCUUCCCGUGAGCGUUGUUGCCUCGCGGUUGGUUGAAAAUCGAGUCCUUGGUAGGGUGUGCCAUGGUAGAUGGUGGUCGAGUUAGAACGAUACCGAUCAUGUGCAUGCUCCCCAAAAUAUGGCCUCUAUGACCCACACGCGUCUUUUGACGCUCAUGACGAGACCUCAGGUCAGGCGGGGCUACCCGCUGAAUUUAAGCAUAUCAAUAAGCGGAGGA
rnacentral:misc_RNA from 1 species